GUGUCAGCAGCCGCGGUAAGACAGAGGUGGCGAGCGUUGUUCGGAUUUACUGGGCGUAAAGCGCGGGUAGGCGGUUCGGCCAGUCAGAUGUGAAAUCCCACUGCUUAACGGUGGAACGGCGUCUGAUACUGCCGAACUUGAGUGCAGGAGAGGAGGGUGGAAUUUCCGGUGUAGCGGUGAAAUGCGUAGAGAUCGGAAGGAACACCAGUGGCGAAGGCGGCCCUCUGGACUGCAACUGACGCUGAGACGCGAAAGCGUGGGGAGCAAACAGGAUUAGAAACCCUCGUAGUCC
rnacentral:rRNA from 1 species